GUGAAUUCAUCUCCGGGGGUAGAGCACUGUUUCGGCAAGGGGGUCAUCCCGACUUACCAACCCGAUGCAAACUGCGAAUACCGGAGAAUGUUAUCACGGGAGACACACGGCGGGUGCUAACGUCCGUCGUGAAGAGGGAAACAACCCAGACCGCCAGCUAAGGUCCCAAAGUCAUGGUUAAGUGGGAAACGAUGUGGGAAGGCCCAGACAGCCAGGAUGUUGGCUUAGAAGCAGCCAUCAUUUAAAGAAAGCGUAAUAGCUCACUGGUCGAGUCGGCCUGCGCGGAAGAUGUAACGGGGCUAAACCAUGCACCGAAGCUGCGGCAGCGACGCUGAUGCGUUGUUGGGUAGGGGAGCGUUCUGUAAGCCUGUGAAGGUGUGCUGUGAGGCAUGCUGGAGGUAUCAGAAGUGCGAAUGCUGACAUAAGUAACGAUAAAGCGGGUGAAAAGCCCGCUCGCCGGAAGACCAAGGGUUCCUGUCCAACGUUAAUCGGGGCAGGGUGAGUCGACCCCUAAGGCGAGGCCGAAAGGCGUAGUCGAUGGGAAACAGGUUAAUAUUCCUGUACUUGGUGUUACUGUGAAGGGGGGACGGAGAAGGCUAUGUUGGCCGGGCGACGGUUGUCCCGGUUUAAGCGUGUAGGCUGGUUUUCCAGGCAAAUCCGGAAAACUAAGGCUGAGGCGUGAUGACGAGGCACUACGGUGCUGAAGCAACAAAUGCCCUGCUUCCAGGAAAAGCCUCUAAGCAUCAGGUAACAUCAAAUCGUACCCCAAACCGACACAGGUGGUCAGGUAGAGAAUACCAAGGCGCUUGAGAGAACUCGGGUGAAGGAACUAGGCAAAAUGGUGCCGUAACUUCGGGAGAAGGCACGCUGAUAUGUAGGUGAAGUCCCUCGCGGAUGGAGCUGAAAUCAGUCGAAGAUACCAGCUGGCUGCAACUGUUUAUUAAAAACACAGCACUGUGCAAACACGAAAGUGGACGUAUACGGUGUGACGCCUGCCCGGUGCCGGAAGGUUAAUUGAUGGGGUCAGCGCAAGCGAAGCUCUUGAUCGAAGCCCCGGUAAACGGCGGCCGUAACUAUAACGGUCCUAAGGUAGCGAAAUUCCUUGUCGGGUAAGUUCCGACCUGCACGAAUGGCGUAAUGAUGGCCAGGCUGUCUCCACCCGAGACUCAGUGAAAUUGAACUCGCUGUGAAGAUGCAGUGUACCCGCGGCAAGACGGAAAGACCCCGUGAACCUUUACUAUAGCUUGACACUGAACAUUGAGCCUUGAUGUGUAGGAUAGGUGGGAGGCUUUGAAGUGUGGACGCCAGUCUGCAUGGAGCCGACCUUGAAAUACCACCCUUUAAUGUUUGAUGUUCUAACGUUGACCCGUAAUCCGGGUUGCGGACAGUGUCUGGUGGGUAGUUUGACUGGGGCGGUCUCCUCCUAAAGAGUAACGGAGGAGCACGAAGGUUGGCUAAUCCUGGUCGGACAUCAGGAGGUUAGUGCAAUGGCAUAAGCCAGCUUGACUGCGAGCGUGACGGCGCGAGCAGGUGCGAAAGCAGGUCAUAGUGAUCCGGUGGUUCUGAAUGGAAGGGCCAUCGCUCAACGGAUAAAAGGUACUCCGGGGAUAACAGGCUGAUACCGCCCAAGAGUUCAUAUCGACGGCGGUGUUUGGCACCUCGAUGUCGGCUCAUCACAUCCUGGGGCUGAAGUAGGUCCCAAGGGUAUGGCUGUUCGCCAUUUAAAGUGGUACGCGAGCUGGGUUUAGAACGUCGUGAGACAGUUCGGUCCCUAUCUGCCGUGGGCGCUGGAGAACUGAGGGGGGCUGCUCCUAGUACGAGAGGACCGGAGUGGACGCAUCACUGGUGUUCGGGUUGUCAUGCCAAUGGCACUGCCCGGUAGCUAAAUGCGGAAGAGAUAAGUGCUGAAAGCAUCUAAGCACGAAACUUGCCCCGAGAUGAGUUCUCCCUGACUCCUUGAGAGUCCUGAAGGAACGUUGAAGACGACGACGUUGAUAGGCCGGAUGUGUAAGCGCAGCGAUGCGUUGAGCUAACCGGUACUAAUGAACCGUGAGGCUUAACCUUACAACGCCGAAG
rnacentral:rRNA from 1 species